rnacentral:rRNA from 1 species
UUGGAGGGCAAGUCUGGUGCCAGCAGCCGCGGUAAUUCCAGCUCCAAUAGCGUAUAUUAAAGUUGUUGCAGUUAAAAAGCUCGUAGUUGAAUUUCGGGAUUCUACCGUUGGUCGGACUAACAAGUCUGUACUGGUGUGUAGAAUUUCUACCUUCUGGGGAACUAUCAUGUUAUUAAUUUAGCGUGGUGGGAAACCAGGACCUUUACCUUGAAAAAAUUAGAGUGUUCAAAGCAGGCUUACGUCUGAAUACAUUAGCAUGGAAUAAUAGAAUAGGACGGUGGUCCUGUUUUGUUGGUUUCUGAAUCACCGUAAUGAUUAAUAGGGAUAGUUGGGGGCAUUAGUAUUCAAUUGUCAGAGGUGAAAUUCUUGGAUUUAUUGAAGACUAACUACUGCGAAAGCAUUUGCCAAGGAUGUUUUCAUUAAUCAAGAACGAAAGUUAGGGGAUCGAAGACGAUCAGAUACCGUCGUAGUCUUAACCAUAAACUAUGCCGACUAGGAAUCAGACGAUGUUAAUUUUUUAAUGACUCGUUCGGCGCCUUACGGGAAAC